rnacentral:rRNA from 1 species
UACAGAGGGGGCAAGCGUUGUUCGGAAUUACUGGGCGUAAAGGGCGCGUAGGCGGCCAACUAAGUCGGACGUGAAAUCCCCGGGCUCAACCCGGGAACUGCGUCCGAUACUGGAUGGCUUGAAUCCGGGAGAGGGAUGUGGAAUUCCAGGUGUAGCGGUGAAAUGCGUAGAUAUCGGGAGGAACACCUGAGGCGAAGGCGGGCUACUGGGCCGAUACUGACGCUGAGGCGCGAAAGCCAGGGGAGCAAACGGG